UAAGGUAGAGGUGCGGUUCAGAAGAGUAUGCAUUGCACAGAAUACAACAAGGUAUCCGACGGAACAGCCAUUCCGGUGCAUGCAGAAAGGCAACACCGCCGAAGAGGAUGUAUGGCAACGCAUCUUCUGGGCACAGUCUGAAUAAGGCUGUGACUGUCAUCAUGGAUUGAUGGAGCGCUAUCGG
rnacentral:ncRNA from 1 species